UCUCUGUGUGUGUGUGUGUGUGUGUGUGUGUGUGUGUGUGUGUGUGUCUGUGUGUGUGUGUGUGUGUGUGUGUGUGUGUGAUGCAUGUGAGUUCUGACUUCACCUGUUCUGUGUGGUCUUCUUUUACCAUGGUGUUCACAUGAUCCAGUGAACAACUAUCCAGGUUACUCAGCCAGGUAGUAAAUGUAUGAACACACAAAACAACACAAUCGUCUGAAAUGUUUAAUGGGACUAGAAAUAAUAGGCUUUCAAGAGUUGGCAUGUUAGUGGCAUUUGCAGAUAUUGUGGGAUUUCAACAGCUGGGAGAGGAGCAAAAUGGACUUAAUUUCCUAUUUAUUGCCUUCGUACUGUUUUCUUGGUAGUUUCUGGACUGAUGCAGUGAUGUUCUGUUCCUUCCGUAUUUAUAACGAAACACUUUUUUAGCGUUUCUAAACAUAGAAUCUACUUGGUUUGAAAUCAAGUGGUUGGAACACUGUCUGGAUUUGUACCUUAAGCAUGCUGUUGAUUGAAUGCUUCAUUGGGGAAGCCUCCAAUCAGCUUUAUCAGUCUGGUUGUGUGAUGAGCACAGCACCUAAUGUUUUGAACUGCUAUUUGGAGGACCAGUGCUUAUUUAAGCUGGAUUUUGUAACCCACUAGAUUUUGUUGGUUUGAGGUCUCAUUCCCUGAUCUUACAGAAUUACAAAUUCUAAUGUUGAAAUUUGCAGAGGUUCUCGUGGAAAAGCCUAGAAGACCAACAGUAGAUUGAACAGUGAUCCUUGCAGGAGGGGAAGUAUGGGUGCCAUGAUUUCUUUUCAUUGGUGUUGGGCUUUGAAUCAGUUGAAAUGUAUUUCUGUACCACAAUGUAAGCUUCAAUAAAAGUUUGCUUAAUUGUCUAGUAA